rnacentral:lncRNA from 1 species
CUGUUCUCCAUCCACUUCACCUUAUUUUCGUAGCUGUAGGUUUUACCGACUCUCCAGACAGGUGAUGCGAGUCAAUAGCGCACCGUUGAACGCGUGGGAGAGACUCAGCCUAUCUCAUUACAGCCGCGAACUUCAUCUGGUACAAGAGUCAUGUCUUGUGUGAGACUGCAGUUAUUUCAACUUCUUGAGGAGCAGGCAUGGAUACAGCGCGGGCAGCCAGGGCGCAUAUUAUCUGGACAUUGAUAGCUUUGGUCUUUAUUUUAAUCGCGUCGUGCUUGACGUAUGUCUUCAUGUCGAAGGUGUCUGGAUGCCAAAGAAUUAGAAUCGUGAAUGUCUCUGCAAUAGAAAGUAUGUUCUCAAGAAAGUAUGUUCAUCAAGUCUCACAGGAACACUGGCUUUUGACAGCUCGUGGCUACAAUCAGACAGGUGAUUGCUUGAUCUGGGAGGAUGAGUGGCACGGAUACAGGGAUAAGAAUGAGAGUAUUCUGGACCACACCAACAUGUCGAUGAUCAUUCGAGAGAAAGGUGUCUACCUGGUCUACAUACAAGUUAACUUCCAACUGAACCCACAGAAGAACAGCAGCUCUACUGUAGAACUCAAAAUUUUAGUGUAUUUCAGUUCUGAUGGGGAGAAGCAGCUAUUUGCAGCCGCACACGACACUCAGGUGGUGAUUGACUCACCUCAGGACGCCAAGCUCAACACUUUCCUUCUGAUGAAAAUGCAGCCAACAAGCCAGUUAUCUGUGAGAGUAUUUCCGAGUGAAUUUGUGAACUGCACACCACAACCCUUUUCCAGUUUUAUCACUAUCAUAAAAUGGGCAGACGACUGGUAGAUUGUUGCAUAUAUUGCAGAAGUUAUUGGCUUUCCAGGUGAAAACCAUAUCCAUGUCCAGUUUUUACAAUGGCGGUUGUUCUUAUAUUCUUGUUAGCUUUAAAUGUGACAUUUUAGGAAGAAUGCGGUCUCAAGAUCAGCUGCUAGAACACCUGAGAUUUUCCAGCUGUUUGUUGUACUAGGAAAUGCUCGCUGACAUUAACAAGGAUUGCGUGGGGGGUUGUGAUACUUUCUUGGUGUUUUUCUUCUUCCUUUCGAAAUAUGAAGAUCACAUCUCAUGAUCUUCUCAGAAGCAUGACACAUUUUCCUCUCAACAGAUAUAUGUUAGGUUUGUUUUGUCUCAGUUUUUUUAUGAGUCAAGACGAAAAAAAGGGCACGAUAUACUGUUAAUGAGCACUGACUUUGAAGAUUCUCAUGUAUUACGUACAUAAAAGAUGUCAUAAGUGCCUGCAAACGAACAUUGUUUUACUAAACAAUAGUAAGCUAAUUCUGAGCAAGUGGGUAUUUCUUCAGUGAAAUGCAUCUUCCUGUAUAUAUAAUCAUACAGUUUUUUUUAAUCAUCGACAGCUGAAUGUAAAAACCUCGUAACCUAUCUUUGUCUAGCAUCAGUGUUUGAUAUAAAUGUUCAUUGUAUCAAAAGCUAUGGAGCAAUAUUUUAUUGUGUAAAUAUGUGCUUCUUUGCAAGACAAGAAACCAGCAUUUUUUUCAAAGUUCUUGAAAUGUGGAGCUAGUUUUUAGCUGUAAGCAGAUUCAUCCAGCCACAGAAGCAUUUAUUUGUUCAUGCAGGGAUGUCAUGGAAUUUUUUUUUUUUCUUAUGGGGGUGACUAGGGGUGGUAGUGGUGGGGUUUUUUUCCACAUUAAAAAAAACCCACUAGUUACACUAAUCCAAUCAGUCAAACAAGCCAUAUGAAUCUGAACAACAUCAGCUGUUUUAAUAAGACAGCGGAGUGUUUUUCUUUUCCAGCGAGUGGGAAAGUUUCUUUUUCAAACCCAGUAUUUUUUCAGUCAGGAAAAUACCAUUUAUGAUGAUGCAUACUUUUUUGUAUUCGGAUGAAUCAAACCUGCUGGCUAAGUCUUAAGAAUAUUUUGAAAUAAGAGACUAAACGUAAUGAUUUUUUUUUUUUUAAUGAAAGUUUUGUUCUUUCACAGCUAAGCCCU